CCUACGGGUGGCAGCAGUAGGGAAUAUUGCUCAAUGGAGGAAACCCUGAAGCAGCAACGCCACGUGGAGGAUGACGGUUUUCGGAUUGUUAACUUCUUUUUUUAGGGAAGUUAAUGACUGUAUCUAACGAAUAUGCUCUGGCUAACUCCGUGCCAGCAGCCGCGGUAAUACGGAGGGUGCAGGCGUUACUCGGAAUCACUGGGCGUAAAGGGCGCGUAGGCGGGAUAGCAAGUCAGAUGUGAAAUCCUAUGGCUUAACCAUAGAACUGCAGUUGAAACUGUUAUCCUAGAGUAUAGGAGAGGUAGGUGGAAUUCGUGGUGUAGGGGUAAAAUGCGUAGAGAUCAAGAAGAAUACUCAUUGCGAAGGCGACCUGCUAGAACGUAACUGACGCUGAUGCGCGAAAGCGUGGGGAGCAAACAGGAUUAGAUACCCCAGUAGUC
rnacentral:rRNA from 1 species